GACGUAGGGCGCGAGCGUUGUCCGGAUUUAUUGGGCGUAAAGGGCUCGUAGGCGGUCUGUCGCGUCGGGAGUGAAAACUCAGGGCUUAACCCUGAGCCUGCUUCCGAUACGGGCAGACUAGAGGUAUGCAGGGGAGAACGGAAUUCCUGGUGUAGCGGUGAAAUGCGCAGAUAUCAGGAGGAACACCAGUGGCGAAGGCGGUUCUCUGGGCAUUACCUGACGCUGAGGAGCGAAAGCAUGGGGAGCGAACAGG
rnacentral:rRNA from 1 species